ACAGAGAGGUUAGGCUGGCCUCAAUCAGAGCCAGGGCUUUUUGGCUGUGGCUUCGAUCUGGUGGAACGUUCUGUCACAAGAGACUAGGGCCCUGCGGGACUUGACAUCCUUCCACAGGACCUGCAAAACAGAGCUGUUCCACCAGGCCUCAGUGUUUACGUGGCUUUUUAGCCUGAUUGAAUUUUGUUAAUGCUUUUGUUUCAUCUAUAUUUUAAAAUUGUUUGUAAGUCCCUUUUUUUUUGCCUGUUGCACUUUUUAAUAAUAUUUAUUAGCAUUUUCAUUUUCAAAAAACACCAUACAAUUUUUACAUCUCUUAUCAUCUCCUAUAUUUGACACUCUCGAGUCGUCAACUUCCCCCAUCCCUCCAAACUUACUUUCUAGCUUCCAAUCAUAAUUUCAUCCACAUUUCUCAUUCCCCCUAUCUACCUUUCUUUUUGCUUUGAUAUUCCUUUUAAUUGUAAAUAAGUGUCUACUUUUGGCUAUCAAACCUUUAGCUCAAUCCUGUUAGUGUUGUUAAAUAUUUACAAUGUUCUUUCAAACACAUAAUAAAUUUACUCCAGUCUUUUUCAAACCGUUGGUCUCGCUGGUCUCAGAUUUUCCCAGACAGUUUUGCCAGUUCUACAUAUUAAAUCAUCUUAUUUUGCCAUUCUUCUACUAUCGGAAUUUCUUGCUGCUUCCAUUUCUGGGCUAACAAAAUCCUUGCCACUGUUGUAGCAUAUAAAAAUAGAGUAUAGUCUUACUUGGGAAUCUCUUCUCCUAGAAUACCUAGCAGGAAAGCUUCUGGUUUCUUAUAAAAAGUGUUUUUAAACACUUUCUUAAGUUUAAAAUUGUUUGUAAGUCCCUUUGAGCAAAUGGUAAAGUAACAUACCUUCCGUAAAUUAAUUUAUUUUCGUUUUCUUGCACACCUUGAUCUAGCAAAGAGUUCCAUGUUCAAAAGUAUUCUUCAGUGUGCAAAUGUUUGACUGGACAUAGCUCUGCAUACUCAGCCAAUGUGGCUACACUGGUUUGGAUCCAACUGAACUCGGUCAAUAUUCCGUUGUCCCAAAUGUGCAUUUCUAUCCUUGACCACUUUAAUAUUGAGCCUAAGACACUGUCUCUUUCUUUCCAUUAGCAUUGAUUAAUCAUCAAACGUACAACACAUUUUAUAAAUUGUUUUAUCCUGUAAUUGAGCAGUGGGAUCCAAUUAUGCCAUGUUUUCAUCAAGAACAUUCAAGCAUCAGUUUUCAUUCAACAGCGAAAAGAGGCAGUGGUGGGUGGUUGGGGAGAAUACUAUUAAAUCAUUAGGAUGCAUAUCUGAUUUUUAUAACUAUUGAACACACAAAAAUGAAAUCAUAUGUAGUUAUUAUGAGUUGAAACAUAUUCCUAAUAGUUUUCCUUCCUCCUGAUUUGAGCCAUUUAAAAUCUUUAAUAAGAAAUGCAUUCAAUGUAAUUUUCACAAGUGACGUGUCUGGAAGGAUAUUACAGGAUUUCGUUAAUCUCUGUUAAACCAACUAAUGUGGAAAUACUUUUUUUAAAAAAUCCUUUUUUGCUAUUUACGGCAUUUUUUCUUCUGCAAUCUGGCAUGCCAGUUUGAAAUGCAGACGGUUGAAGGCUGAUUUGUGAAAGGAUCUGCUAACAGUUCUUAAUAGCUAUAUAACAACUCAAGAGCAUUCGAAGGGCAACAGUCAAAUGUCUCUACAACUUUCUGCAUCACAGUUUGCAUGCUUACCUACAAUCACAUAGCAAUUCUCUGCCAAGUAUAUGAU
rnacentral:lncRNA from 1 species